UACGUAGGGGGCGAGCGUUGUCCGGAGUUACUGGGCGUAAAGCGCACGCAGGCGGUCUGCUAAGUUUGGAGUGACAGUUGGUGGCUUAACUGCCAAAGUGCUUCGAAAACUGACAGACUUGAGGGCUUCAGAGGGACACGGAAUUCCGGGUGGAGUGGUGAAAUGCGUAGAUAUCUGGAGGAACACCGGUGGCGAAGGCGGCAUCCUGGACCGAGAUUGACGCUGAGGCGCGAAAGCUAGGGGAGCAAACAGG
rnacentral:rRNA from 1 species